UACGGGGGGAGCAAGCGUUGUUCGGAUUUACUGGGCGUAAAGGGCGCGUAGGCGGUCAGCACAAGUCAGUUGUGAAAUCUCCGGGCUUAACUCGGAAAGGUCAACUGAUACUGUGCGACUAGAGUGCGGAAGGGGCAACUGGAAUUCUUGGUGUAGCGGUGAAAUGCGUAGAUAUCAAGAGGAACACCUGCGGCGAAGGCGGGUCUCUGGGCAACAACUGACGCUGAGGAGCGAAAGCGUGGGGAGCGAACAGG
rnacentral:rRNA from 1 species